rnacentral:tRNA from 1 species
GAAGGUAUAGCUUGAGUGGUAGAGUGUGUGCUUAGCAUGCACAAGGCUCUGGGUUCAAUCCCCGGUAUCUCCA